rnacentral:ncRNA from 1 species
AGAAACGCCGUGAAAAGGAAAGUAGAAAAGGGAUUUGACGUCCAGAGAGUCGCCUGAUUGCUGGGAGGGCGGCCGCGAACUCUUUUUGAAAGCCACCUUGGAGCUCUGCUUUUGAACACGAGUAGAAAGCAGCGACUAGCCUACGUUAUCAGGCGCAUGUCAGUUUUGACUGCACAAGUUUUCCUUUUGUGAAAAAGGGAAAAAAGCUGAGUGGUACCGCGAUACCUUCGCCUCAGCA